rnacentral:rRNA from 1 species
UACGGGGGGUGCAAGCGUUGUCCGGAAUCAUUGGGCGUAAAGAGUUCGUAGGCGGCACGUAAAGUCUGGUGUUAAAGGCAGAGGCUCAACUUCUGUACGGCACUGGAUACUUGCGAGCUAGAAUGCGGUAGAGGUAAAGGGAAUUCCUGGUGUAGCGGUGAAAUGCUUAGAUAUCACACAGAACACCGAUUGCGAAGGCAUCUCACGAAUCCGCGAUUGACGCUGAUGCACGAAAGCGUGGGUAUCAAACAGG